GGUUCCGUAGCUCAGCAGCAGAGCGCCCGGCUGUCAACCGGGAGGUGGCGGGGGCAGCACCCGUCGGAGCCG
rnacentral:tRNA from 1 species